CCAGCCGGAAGUGGGCAGGUACCGCCCCGCACGUCCUGGCUCCGGCUCGGCUGGGCGCUCGGUAGAGUGAGUGACGCACGAGCCAAGACCUGCGGCACGUGGACUGGCCCGGAUCAGUGACACUCGGGCGCCAACACCAACGACAGAAGGGUCUUCUGUUGACUGGAAACCAACAGCGAGGGCUGGGUGUUAAAUCACAGCAGGCGACUUCCCCACCAGCAGGCGUCUGGUUAGCAAGCUAGUAACUGCGAAUGUGGAGGAACGAAGAACAAGCCAGGAGAAAAGUGCCUGCAGCCAACAUUUCCUGCCGGCCGUGUGCUGGGACUCAGGAACAGCACAGCGCCCGGCACGGAGCCUGCUCCGCAGACGUCACAGCGAUCACGGCUGUUCUGGAGAGCCUGGCUUUGUUGGGGGACCCGAGAGGGGCCAAGGGCUGUGUCCUGGGGGACCGGUCCCGCCUCUUACGGACCGACAGGGGUUCCGUUAGUGUCCCGGCGGGCCGGCGUUGGGAGCGCAGCAGGGGGUGCAGAGAUGGUCAGGUCCUACCCGGACCCCCAGGGCAGCGUGAAGGGUGCUCCCGACGCAGUGAGAGAGGGCAGCUGCUGGGGUGCACGGCCAAGCACCGUGGCCAGCGGAGCCUGCUGAGUGUCCCACGUACACCUGCCUGGUGCGCUCAGAGAGCCCCCGCACCACAUUCCAGCGCUCUCCCCAGCGAGCCUGCCCUGGGUCUCGUGCUCGCUCUCAGCUAAGUUGUUUGGUGGGGGUUUCUGUUUAAACAUAAGAACUUUUCCUCAACUUUUAGCCUAGAAAACGUUUAAGAGAUGCUAUUAAUAAAUUUGGUUUAGGGGCACAUGG